rnacentral:rRNA from 1 species
GGAGGUAGAGCACUGACUGGCCUAGGGCGGCUAACCGUACCAAAGCCUAUCAAACUCCGAAUGCCAAAAAAUCAGAUCAUGGAGUCAGACUUAGAGGGAUAAGCUCCUAAGUCGAAAGGGAAAGAGCCCAGACCGACAGCUAAGGUCCCCAAAUCUGGAUUAAGUGGAAAAGGAUGUGAACCUACUAAGACAACCAGGACGUUGGCUUAGAAGCAGCCAUACAUUUAAAGAAUGCGUAAUAGCUCACUGGUCAAGUGGUCCUGCGCCGAUAAUUUAGCGGGGCUCAAGUACACCGCCGAAGCCGCGGCACUCACACGUGUACCUCCCUUUGUGGGCAGGUGUGUGGGUGGGUAGGGGAGCGUCGUGUGGCCAUGGAAGCGCCGGAGUGAUCCAGGUGUGGAGGCCACGCGAGUGAGAAUGCAGGCAUGAGUAGCGAAUGACGAGUGAGAACCUCGUCCGCCGGAUGACCAAGGGUUCCUGGGUCAAGCUAAUCUGCCCAGGGUGAGUCGGGACCUAAGGCGAGGCCGACAGGCGUAGUCGAUGGACAACGGGUUGAUAUUCCCGUACCCGCGA